GAUGAACGCUGGCGGUGUGCCUAAUACAUGCAAGUCGAGCGAACAGACGAGGAGCUUGCUCCUCUGACGUUAGCGGCGGACGGGUGAGUAACACGUGGAUAACCUACCUAUAAGACUGGGAUAACUUCGGGAAACCGGAGCUAAUACCGGAUAAUAUAUUGAACCGCAUGGUUCAAUAGUGAAAGACGGUUUUGCUGUCACUUAUAGAUGGAUCCGCGCCGCAUUAGCUAGUUGGUAAGGUAACGGCUUACCAAGGCAACGAUGCGUAGCCGACCUGAGAGGGUGAUCGGCCACCCUGGAACUGAGACACGGUCCAGACUCCUACGGGAGGCAGCAGUAGGGAAUCUUCCGCAAAGGGCGAAAGCCUGACGGAGCAACGCCGCGUGAGUGAUGAAGGUCUUCGGAUCGUAAAACUCUGUUAUUAGGGAAGAACAAAUGUGUAAGUAACUAUGCACGUCUUGACGGUACCUAAUCAGAAAGCCACGGCUAACUACGUG
rnacentral:rRNA from 1 species